rnacentral:rRNA from 1 species
AGCGAACGCUGGCGGCAGGCCUAACACAUGCAAGUCGAACGAACCUUUCGGGGUUAGUGGCGGACGGGUGAGUAACACGUGGGAACGUGCCUUUAGGUUCGGAAUAACUCAGGGAAACUUGUGCUAAUACCGAAUGUGCCCUUCGGGGGAAAGAUUUAUCGCCUUUAGAGCGGCCCGCGUCUGAUUAGCUAGUUGGUUGAGGUAAUGGCUCACCAAGGCGACGAUCAGUAGCUGGUCUGAUAGGAUGAUCAGCCACAUUGGGACUGAGACACGGCCCAAACUCCUACGGGAGGCAGCAGUGGGGAAUCUUGCGCAAUGGGCGAAAGCCUGACGCAGCCAUGCCGCGUGAAUGAUGAAGGUCUUAGGAUUGUAAAAUUCUUUCACCGGGGACGAUAAUGACGGUACCCGGAGAAGAAGCCCCGGCUAACUUCGUG